UCCUACCAGGAAGUGAGUUUACACUGAAGAGAGUGUUGGUGGCCAUACCUCCUGCUCCCCACCUCGUCUCUGCCUCCUGCCUGGGAGUCUAAUAGUCUACCUACAGGCAAGCUGCUUAUCCUUCCACAAAAAUGGCGGAGUGCACCACACACAAGAUAUCAGAUGAGCGCCACUCAGUGAAUACACCAUAUGAACCAAAUGGGACGUGAGGUUCAUCGUAAUCCCGAGCACAGCCAUGAGGACUUGCAAAGAGGGAAGCCUGCAAUUGAAAGGCUCUAUCUCAGUGAUUCUCAACAUGUCGGUCGCAACCCACUGGGCAACCUUUUCUCUCCAAAAAUAUUUACAGUCUGAUUUGUGACAAUAGCAAAAUUACAGUUAUGAAGUAGCAA